rnacentral:rRNA from 1 species
UGCCAGCAGCCGCGGUAAUACGGAGGGUGCAAGCGUUGUCCGGAAUUAUUGGGUUUAAAGGGUGCGUAGGCGGCGUAUUAAGUCUGAGUUGAAAUCCUACAGCUUAACUGUAGAACUGGCUUAGAUACUGGUAUGCUUGAGUACACUAGAGGUAGGCGGAAUUUAUGAUGUAGCGGUGAAAUGCAUAGAUAUCAUAAAGAACACCAAUUGCGAAGGCAGCUUACUGGAGUGUAACUGACGCUGAGGCACGAAAGCGUGGGGAGCGAACAGGAUUAGAUA